rnacentral:lncRNA from 1 species
AAAAAAUAUCAUGAAACAUAACAAACAAACAAGCAAAAGAUCUCCAAGUAUUGCAAGACUUGAUAUGAAAUGCAGACAACUGGAAACAGAUUCUCAAUAAAACCAUCACAAUAUUUGCCUAAAGUAGAAAGUAAGGUCAGCUCUGUAGACAUCUUGGAGAAGAUCAGCUGUCAGCAUAAACUGACACAACUCCACCAAAGUCAAUUUGCACCAAAUGAAAUCUUCUCCCUUCUUUAUUUUGCUUUAUCUAUCUUUGCAUUGCAGUGUUGCUGCCUACAGAGCCCAGUGGUGAAAAGCAGCAGGAAUCACCUUAUAGAGGAUUUUGUAUAUUUGCAGCUCAAUGCCAAGUGCCUUCGAAAGUCUGAAAGAACAGCCCACUACUACAGGUUGCUGGUUUUUGGUGAUGGCAAGGUAUUUUGGCAAGUUGUCAACAUCCAGAGUCCUUGGCCAAGAAGAAUAUCAUAAUGAUGUUGAUAUGAGUCUCUCUAGAAUCCACAGUGGGUCAUUUAUAUGUUUCCUAACACGCUUUUACACCUUGGUCUUUCUUCACUGGUCUGUACCUCCAUGUUACACCAAUAUAUACUACAUAUUUUCCCAUUGUCAAAGGUUAGAUACUAUUUAUUUGUUCUCCAUGAAACCAGUUUUGUACAACUCCAUGUUGGUGUUUUUUUUUUUUUUUUUUUUUUUAACUGACCAUACGGGAGUUGCUUAUAAUUGCAGGGUCUCCAGUGGCAACCUGUGACCCACCUCCUACCACUCCACACCUGCAUUUCUCUGCAUUGCAUCUUGUGUCCCCACUUUACUGGGCUUCUGCUGCUGUUCCAGAACAGUAUUUCUCUACACUAUGCGUUAGUCACAAAUGUCUCCUUUUAUAUUGAGUAACUGCUUAUUAUUGCUAUCUAUAACUGUAGUUGAAUAACACAAAGAUAAGUGAAAAGUAAAACUAAAUAGCUAUCCCACCUCAAUCUUAGAAUAAUUGCAUUUAUAGUUAAACCAGGUAAAACAAAGCUGCUGCAAAGACUAGGUAGUAUUAGUAGUUGAUAUGAUAUUACAGGGCUAAAAAGAAACAUCAUUUCUUCAAAUUCUCUUUUUUUUUUUUUUUUCUUCUUUGAUACUUUUUUUCCCUUUCCUCAUGUUCCUUUCUCCAUUUUUCCCUGUUUCUGUUUUUCCACUCUCUUUCCCCUUUCCCUCUAAACCUAGCUCUUAAAAAUAAUUACUGCACUGUAACAUUUAUACUCCAACAAGCUCUUCCCAUGUCUCUGAUGUUGCUCCUAAACCUCCCCAUGACUCUCCAGGUUCCCAAAAGCAGCCUGCUAAAAAGGCUAUGGUUUUAAAAUAACAGAUACAUAUUCACAAGGAAACAUGUUAUAUUGGCUUUUGCUUUCUUUUUUUUUUUUUUUUUUUUUUUUUUUUAAUAUAUGUAUAUCAAAGAGGAAAUAAAGAUAAGUAGGUUUGUUUAAUAGUUUUCUAC